GUAGGGAAUAUUGCGCAAUGGGCGAAAGCCUGACGCAGCGACGCCGCGUGGGUGAUGAAGCUCUUUGGAGUGUAAAGCCCUGUCAGUGGGGAAGAAACGGUCGCGUAGGAAAUGACGUGGCCCUGACGGUACCCGCAGAGGAAGUUCCGGCUAACUCCGUGCCAGCAGCCGCGGUAACACGGGGGGAACGAGCGUUGUUCGGAUUUACUGGGCGUAAAGGGUGCGUAGGCGGGCCGAUUAGUCGGGUGUGAAAACUCACGACUCAACCGUGAGCUUGCAUUCGAAACUGUCGGUCUUGAGUACGGGAGAGGGAAGUGGAAUUCCUGGUGUAGCGGUGAAAUGCGUAGAUAUCAGGAGGAACACCGGUGGCGAAGGCGGCUUCCUGGACCGAUACUGACGCUGAUGCACGAAGGCCGGGGGAGCAAACAGG
rnacentral:rRNA from 1 species